rnacentral:precursor_RNA from 1 species
UCUCACGCCCUCACCUGGCUGAGCCGCAGUAGUUCUUCAGUGGCAAGCUUUAUGUCCUGACCCAGCUAAAGCUGCCAGUUGAAGAACUGUUGCCCUCUGCCCCUGGCUUCGAGGAGGAGG